rnacentral:ncRNA from 1 species
AUACUGAAAUGCAUGGUGGGAAAUAAGUGCGAAAUUCACUUGCUGUACCUGCAACCGUAAAGUCGGAGCGCCACCCAGUAUAGACCCCUGUUGAAUUAAGGCCAGGAAAAGUCCCUACUUCUACAAAUUUGCA